AUAAAACGCAUCGGUCGACGACGUCAUCGCAGCGUCACGUGACUGUUGUUGUUCUUUUAUGUCAAUAAUCUUCAUAACAGGGCUGCCUGAAGUCACAAUGUGGCUCUAUGAUCGCCUCAGAGGAGGAGGGACGCUGACCCACUCUGUCAUCUGAGACGGCCAGCCACUAUGCCCAGGUCCUGGGCAUAGGCAGUAUAGGCGAAUGCUAAGGGCGCAUCCAACCGCAGGGGGCGCCAAAAAUAUGUCUUUUUUUUUUACUUUAACUUCAAUGUUUAUAUUACUUAGUACCAGAGUACCAGUAGUUAUGUCGGAAUAAAUAUUAGACAACAUAUCAUAACAUGUAAAAUAAAAGAGCUAUUUUUAAUUUAUUCACUUAUCGAAGCAAUCUGAGGUUUUAAAUGUGGUUUUAUUAUUUAGUAAAUACAAAUAGUCCGCCAACAGUUGUCAGGGCGUUGCCAAGCAACGUGUAAACAACUUAACCGGAGUAAACUAGUCAUGCAGUGUUUGUUUUAAAAAAAAAAAAAGGAACGGCAGCCUUUACCUAGCUGGUCCGCUGCUAAAUCCAAACCCACACGCUUCAAUGAAAAUCAAAACAUGUCAGCUAUGUACAUAGGUCCAAAACAGUUUGUAACCCACAGUAAAAUGGGGGUGUUAUCCUUAAAUUAUCCUAUGCAUUGUAGUAACCAUUGUUGGAGCAGUGUUUAUUUUCAAGCUGAUUUGGAUGAUAGUUUGUGGUUUGCAUAUCUUACAUUUCCCAUAUCUUUCACGUAAUAUUAUUUUAUUGUAUUUUUUUUACACUUCAAUUGAGUGCAUGUUUAAAUCUCUGGUUAGAAACAAACUAGAUAAACCAUACUACAUACAUUAAUUUGAAUCUGAACUCAUAUCUAUUAUUUUGCUCAUGAAUGCCUUUAGUAAGCAUCAUGCAUUUCUUUGCAGUAUUUGGUGCAUACCUUAUUGUAUGAGUGAUUCAUUGUCACUUGUAUUGCAAGACCUUUUUUUACUGUGUUUGAUUAUUAAAAGUUCUAACGUCUGCAGUAUUUUGUAGCAUAUUGUAUUUAGGAUUCAUUGCUUGUUACUUGGUUUGUAAUCCGUUUUGUGUGUUUAAUUUUCUAUCUAGAAUAAAAGAGUCUCAAAGACA